rnacentral:rRNA from 1 species
GUAGGAGCUAGCGUUGUCCGGAAUCAUUGGGCGUAAAGCGCGCGUAGGCGGCCCGGUAAGUCCGCUGUGAAAGUCAGAGGCUCAACCUUUGAAUGCCAGCGGAUACUGCCGGGCUAGAGUCCGGAAGAGGCGAGUGGAACUCCUGGUGUAGCGGUGGAAUGCGCAGAUAUCAGGAAGAACACCAACGGCGAAGGCAGCUCGCUGGGACGGAACUGACGCUAAGGCGCGAAAGCGUGGGGAGCGAACAGGAUUAGAUACCCUGGUAGUCCACGCCGUAAACGAUGGGCACUAGGUGUGGGAGGUGUCGACUCCUCCCGUGCCGGCGCUAACGCAUUAAGUGCCCCCGCCUGGGGAGUACGGCCGCAAGGCUA